ACGGGUGAGUAACACGUGGGUAACCUGCCCAUAAGACUGGGAUAACUCCGGGAAACCGGGGCUAAUACCGGAUAAUAUUUUGAACUGCAUGGUUCGAAAUUGAAAGGCGGCUUCGGCUGUCACUUAUGGAUGGACCCGCGUCGCAUUAGCUAGUUGGUGAGGUAACGGCUCACCAAGGCAACGAUGCGUAGCCGACCUGAGAGGGUGAUCGGCCACACUGGGACUGAGACACGGCCCAGACUCCUACGGGAGGCAGCAGUAGGGAAUCUUCCGCAAUGGACGAAAGUCUGACGGAGCAACGCCGCGUGAGUGAUGAAGGCUUUCGGGUCGUAAAACUCUGUUGUUAGGGAAGAACAAGUGCUAGUUGAAUAAGCUGGCACCUUGACGGUACCUAACCAGAAAGCCACGGCUAACUACGUGCCAGCAGCCGCGGUAAUACGUAGGUGGCAAGCGUUAUCCGGAAUUAUUGGGCGUAAAGCGCGCGCAGGUGGUUUCUUAAGUCUGAUGUGAAAGCCCACGGCUCAACCGUGGAGGGUCAUUGGAAACUGGGAGACUUGAGUGCAGAAGAGGAAAGUGGAA
rnacentral:rRNA from 1 species